rnacentral:lncRNA from 1 species
CAAAACUAGCUUGGUUGUGAUAGGCUGAAUAAGUGGGGCUUACAAACCAUUCACCUUUACUUUCAGAGAAUUGUAUUUUCUCUUACUGACUUGUCUUUUGCUCUUUUUUUUUCUCAUAAGUUUUCUUUAUGCAAUAGUGAGAGUGUGAGUAGGCUACUCCAUAUUCUCUCCUCUCUCUCUGGAUUUUGUACAACACAUGUGGAAUUACAGCCUGAUUACCAAGGCUUUUAAGGUCAGCAGACAUGGACCUCAAUGCUGAGAAUUAACCUGG